rnacentral:pre_miRNA from 2 species
UGAGGUAGUAGGUUGUGUGGUUUCAGGGUAGUGAUGUUGCCCCCUCGGAAGAUAACUAUACAACCUACUGCCUUCC